rnacentral:rRNA from 1 species
GAUGAACGCUAGCGGGAGGCUUAACACAUGCAAGUCGAGGGGCAGCAUAGGGUAGCAAUACUCUGAUGGCGACCGGCAAACGGGUGAGUAACGCGUAUGUAACCUACCCUGUACAGGGGGAUAACCCGGAGAAAUUCGGACUAAUAUCCCAUAACAAUAUCCGGGGGCAUCUUUGGAUAUUUAAAGUUCCGGCGGUACGGGAUGGGCAUGCGUAACAUUAGCUAGUUGGUAAGGUAACGGCUUACCAAGGCUUUGAUGUUUAGGGGUCCUGAGAGGGUGGUCCCCCACACUGGUACUGAGACACGGACCAGACUCCUACGGGAGGCAGCAGUGAGGAAUAUUGGUCAAUGGGCGCAAGCCUGAACCAGCCAUCCCGCGUGCAGGAAGACGGCGCUAUGCGUUGUAAACUGCUUUUCCAGGGAGAGAAACUUGCGCACGUGUUGCGCAAUUGACGGUACCCUGGGAAUAAGCAUCGGCUAACUCCGUGCCAGCAGCCGCGGUAAUACGUAG